rnacentral:pre_miRNA from 1 species
GGGCAGAUUGAUGGUGUCACACACAAUGCUGGGAGACGUCAUCACGUGCUACCUCCGGUGAUGUCAGCACCCAGCACCAUGAUGUCC